UACGUAGGUGGCGAGCGUUGUCCGGAUUUACUGGGCGUAAAGGGCGCGUAGGCGGCCUGCUAAGUCGGAUGUGAAAUCCCUCGGCUCAACCGAGGAACUGCAUCCGAUACUGGCGGGCUUGAAUCCGGGAGAGGGAUGUGGAAUUCCAGGUGUAGCGGUGAAAUGCGUAGAUAUCUGGAGGAACACCGGUGGCGAAGGCGGCAUCCUGGACCGGUAUUGACGCUGAGGCGCGAAAGCUAGGGGAGCAAACGGG
rnacentral:rRNA from 1 species